rnacentral:SRP_RNA from 1 species
GCUAGGUGUGGUGGUGGGCGCCCAUAAUCCCAGAUACUAGGAGGCGGAGGCAGGAGAAUCGCUUGAACCCAGGAGGUGGAGGUUGCAGUGUGCCGAAAUUGAGCCACUGCCCUCCAGCCUGGGCGACAGAGCAAGANNNNNNNNNNUCUUGCUCUGUCGCCCAGGCUGGAGUGCAGUGGCUCAAUUUCGGCACACUGCAACCUCCACCUCCUGGGUUCAAGCGAUUCUCCUGCCUCCG